UACGUAGGUGGCGAGCGUUAUCCGGAAUUACUGGGCGUAAAGCGCACGCAGGCGGUCUUUUAAGUUUGACGUGAAAGCUCCCGGCUUAACUGGGAGAGGUCGUUGAAGACUGGAAGGCUUGAGGCAAUGAGAGGGGUGUAGAAUUCCCGGUGUAGUGGUGGAAUGCGCAGAUAUCGGGAGGAACACCGGUGGCGAAGGCAAUCCCCUGGGCCUGUACUGACGCUCAUGCACGAAAGCGUGGGGAGCAAACAGG
rnacentral:rRNA from 1 species